GCGUAUACGGCAAGCACGUGCUUUAACGUGCUCGCAUGGGGCAGAAAUCCAUUGGGCGAUAAGAAGAAGAAGAAGAAGAAGACGUGCUCGCAUGUAUAAACCAUAACGCGAAUUCGUCGCAGGACAGUUUCCGGACGCGCAAUACGUCACAGGGACACGAUGCACUUGCGUGACGACACGCUGACCGAGAUCGCUCGGGUUCCUCGCGAGUAAGAAAAAGAGGAAGAGAGAGGAGUGAGCAAAGAAAAGAAGGAAGGAAAAAAGAGAAAAAAACGAAGCGGGGGGAGAAACGCGAGAGUACAGAAACUACAGAAGUGCGUGGACGGUUGACUUCAACGAUGUUGCAUCUACGGCGCGGUGCUACGAGAGCGCGGCCAGUUCCGUUUACAGUUUUCCGUCUUUCAAGUAAAGUGCGUGACUGCUAGUGUUCGCGCGAUCGCGGUAACGCAGCCGAGACGGCCAAGUUGUUCGUACGCCGCCACCACCGUCGCAGUCGCUUCUACCACCACCAUCGCCACCGCCACGUCCUUCUCUACUUCAAUCUGUUUGCAAAUCGGUCUUUCGCGGUCUUUCGGUUGCGAGACUCUUGGAGACUUCCGAAUACUCUUCGCUGCCGCCACAUACAGGACAGCCUCCUCCCAUUGGGAUUUCUAUCGAAUACUUGCAUUUACACUCCAUCGCCGAGGAAAUAAUUAAGGAAAGCAGAAUGGGUUUCAGCCAACAGUUUGCUUAGAUGCUUGAACGCAAGAGUUUUAACACAAGAGUUGAUGUACGCUUGUUAAAAAUUCUGUUCAAAGGAAAAAUUUAAAUACUGCGACGUUUUUAUAAGAUUUAAUAUAUGUUAAUAUAGUCAUUUAGUUCUGCAUAGGCUUGUUUAGCAGUACAUUAAUGACAAGAAGAUUUUAAAGUGCUUUAGUCUGGCAAAAUUACCUCACAAUAUAUUUAACGUGAUAUAAACGGAUUUUCAGGAAUUUAUGAAAUUAUUGAACUGUUCGAGUCUGCUUCAAAGAACAAUAUCUGCUAUGAAGAACAAUAUCCGUCAAGUACAUCGUGUUCAAAAGAAGACAGAUUUUUACAUCACAAUCAACAUGAAAAUAAAUUUGAAGAAAUGGUAAAUACAUUUGACGAUGAAAACUGUCACGUUGAUAUAAAUUGUCUAGAUUCAGAUGAUGAUCCAAUUGAUUCAGAUAUUGAAUGGUGUGACGAUACUGUAUCGUUAAACCAUUCAAUAUCUGAAUCAAGUGGAUCACCAUCCGAAUCUAGACACUUUGUAUCAUUCAUUAAUGAUACAAAGUGUUCCAUAGAAGGAAAUGAUACUAAAGAUAUCGAUAAUGUACAAGAAUUUAUUAGAAAUUGGAAAUUGAGAAAUAAUAUUUCUCAUACAGCCGUCACUGAGUUGUUGCGUUAUUUAAAAUUGCAUUCUUGUUUUCAAACUUUACCAAUACAGUCAAAAACAUUAAUGAAUACUCCUCGCUACAAAGUAAAUCUCAUACCUAUGGCACCAGGUAAAUAUGUGCACAUAGGUUUGCAUAAAGGGAUUACAAAUGCAAUUUUAAAUACAAACAAAGAAUUAUUUCUUAAUGGAAUCGAUAUAUCAAUUUUUAUAGAUGGUAUUCCAUUGUUCAAAUCAGGUGUAUCGUUAUGGUCUAUUCUAGGUUUUAUAAAAAAUCUUCGUCACAUUUUUCUUAUUGGAGCUUAUUACGGUCCUGAAAAGCCAUGUGAUAGUACUUUUUAUUUAAGUUUUACUGUAAAUGAUAUUAAAGAUGUAUAUCAAAAUGGUAUUGUAAUUGAAGGAUUACAUUUUAAAUGUCGAAUUAAUUCUAUUAUAGCUGACGCAAAAUCAUAUAUUUUAAAUGUCAAAAGUCACAAUGGAUAUUAUAGUUGUACUAAAUGCCAUAUAAAAGGUGAAUAUGCUUAUAGGCGCGUUUAUAUGUUAAAUAGUCAUGAACAAUUGCGAAACGAUAUUGAAUUUAGAAAUAAAACCGAUUCCAAUUAUCACUUAGGACAUAGUAUUUUAACAGACAUUCCGAAUUUUGAUAUUGUAAAUCAAAUUCCUUUAGAAUAUAUGCACUUAAUAUGCCUUAGUGUUAUGCGUAAACUGUUAUAUUUAGGGUUAAGUAAAUCAAAACAACCAUAUUGUUUAAGUGCGCAAAGUAUACAACGUUUAUCCGGUUUGAUAGAAGACAUUACAUUGUUUGUUCCUAAUGAAUUUUCACGUAAACUUCGAUCAUUACAAUUAGUUAAAUAUUUUAAGGCAACUGAAUACAGAUUAUUACUUUUAUAUGUUGGUCCUGUUGUUUUAAAAAAAAUUUUAAAUGAAGAUUUAUAUAACCAUUUCUUGACUUUACACGUAUCUGUACGAAUUCUAUGUAGUAAUGAUUAUACUCAGUACAUUGAAUAUGCAAGUGAACUGUUACGAAAAUUUGUGGAUGCAGUGCCACAUUUAUAUCAUGAAUGCUUUGUGUUCGAGACUAUAACAAUUAUGUAAGAGUUUUAACUUUUCCCCUUUUUUCGGUUCUGUUUUAUCCGCGAGUAGUGAGAGCUCCUGACAGCCAUCGAACUCCUUAUAGUUCAUUUCUUCGAUGCACCGAUUCGCGCGGCGCUGUCACUAGCUCCUCACGCGCGCGAUUUUCGUUUGCUCUCAUCGCCGGUAACUAUGCAUCUCGGUAACUAUGCAAAUAAACAUACCCAAAAAAGGGCACGUCCGAAUCCAUGCCCAAAUAAGUCUCGAUAUCGGUUCCCUACCGCCCCUUUUCUCGCCUCCGAUCGUAAUUGUUUUACGAUGCAUAAUUCGUCAGUCUCUCGCAGCCCGGCACCUAAAUCAGAUCGUCCAGCAGAUCUCUCCCGUCUUCCGCUGAUCCUAGCUGCGGGGAUUCACUUCCGCCUUUCCCUAUCAUUCGCGCCGUGAUCGUGCGAUUGAGUUAUUAAUUCAUCCGAUCCUGCCAAGCAUUUCUUAAUUUUCAUAACCGCGUGAAUGUUGUGAGUGUUACGUCCGUGCGCAGGUGACCGUAUCUUUCCCGCGAACGUCCUCUGCCUCGCGUACAAGAUCUCCGUCGGAUCGCGCGCAAGAUCUCCGGGUUCGCGAGGGCCUCGAUCUCGUGGCUCUGCAAGAUUUCCGCGUCGAUUAGACAGCGCAAUAUCAGGACGUAUCAAGAUAUCCGACACAUUGUAAAAGAUACGGUUCGCCCCUCGCUUCGAGCGUUCGGUUUUGAAUAAAUAAUUCAGUGUGAGUGACACCAACGCCUCCUCUUUAUUCCUAUCACCUCCCGUAAACCUCCCGCAUUCCUGACCACUCACUUCGCGUCUCUAUCGGAACGGAUCCCGGCAUUUCCCUACGUGCGAUCGCGUUUACCCUACGCACGCGCGAACACUUUGUAUCACAUAAUAUGCAUGGAUUGAUACAUAUUGUACAACAUGUAAAAACAUUUGGACCUUUAGACAAUUACAGUGCCUUUAAAUAUGAAAAUUUCUUACAGUAUCUGAAACGAAUAGUUAAAAAGUAUGCGCAACCUUUACAACAAUUGUAUAAUCGAUAUCACGAAAUAAGACCUGAUGUAAAAAAACUGAUUCUCGUACAACUGAACUUAUAAUCAACGAAUCGCAAAAUGAUUAUUGUAUUUUGCCCAAUGAGAAAAGAGGACCUUUGUAUGUAGAGGCUACUUCAAUUAAUUAUCGUUUUCGAGUACAUACAAUAAAUGAUAAUUGUUGUUUAUUAACAAAUGGAGAUAUUGUAAAAAUAACGAAAUUUUCUUAUGACUUUGAGAAGAAAGAAUCAGUCUUUUGUGGGAAAAUAUAUGAGCAAAAAAAAAUUUAUUUAUAAUUCCAUGUGAAUCUUCGUUACUUCAAAUUUAUGUUGUUUCUCAGCUUUCCCAAGAAAAAAUGUGGUCUUUGGAUAAAAUUAAAAAUAAAAUGUUUAUAUUGCCAUAUAAAAACAAAUUUGUUGUGUUACCAGUGUUACAUAAUGAAGAUGAUACAGAAAAAUUUAUGUUAUAAGCUUGUUUGUACAUUAAAAUUUGUCUAAUUUGUAUAAUAAAAAAUAUUGAAAUAUAUUGUUACGUCCAGCCUUAUAGGAUUUAACUCUUUAUUCGGUAGGAAGGAUAUUUCAAGGAGAACAGGUAAGGCAGAGGGAAGAACGUAACAAAACGUAUAGAAUUCCCGUAGACACACAGUUUAAGAGAGGGUAUGUGCCUCGGGUCGAACGCACUUUUUAUGACUCAAAAA
rnacentral:lncRNA from 1 species